UUCGAAGGGAGCUAGCGUUGUUCGGAAUCACUGGGCGUAAAGCGCACGUAGGCGGAUGUGUCAGUCAGAGGUGAAAUCCCGGAGCUCAACUUCGGAACUGCCUUUGAUACAGCACGUCUUGAGUCCGAUAGAGGUGGGUGGAAUUCCUAGUGUAGAGGUGAAAUUCGUAGAUAUUAGGAAGAACACCGGUGGCGAAGGCGGCCCACUGGAUCGGUACUGACGCUGAGGUGCGAAAGCGUGGGGAGCAAACAGG
rnacentral:rRNA from 1 species